AUUUUUUUAAGUUUCUUUUGCUUCUUGUGUUUGAAUGAGUUUAAUUUAACACUAGACCACUGACACUGUAAUUCAAAGUAAAGUUUUUUUAUGGCUCUUUUGCCCAUUUUGAGUUAGAGCCCUUAGCCCAUUUUAGCAUAAUGUUAUAAUACAUGACUUGAAAUUUUCAUUACUUAAAGAUUAUGCCAUUUCUAUUAUGUCUUAUGCAGUGAUCAACUAAAACUACAGAGCAGGGCAGGUGGAACAGGAGCCAUUGUGUUGUAAUCCUGUGAUGUCACCACAUUCCUCGCAUUCUCCCCUCCCUGUUCUUAUCAGCUGAUUGAAACAGAAUGCCAGGAACAUGCGGAAUCAGUGUCGAGGUGAUGAGUGAGCAUGGAGAAUGUUCUCUCCACAUCACCAUGGUCCGAAUGCUCUGUGAUUCACCAUUCCCACUUUGACCACGAUUGCUGUGAAGCCUUACCCCACCAUGAGCCUUUUUCCAGUGACUGAUGGAAGCAGAUGCAGAGAUCCACGGCCAAACACCAGGCUGAGCUCCAGGAGUCCAAAGAGAAAGAAGAAGGAUCCUAUGAAUAAGACAUUUUUUAAUGAAAAAGAGAUUCAGUCGCAAAAGUCAUAAAGAAAAACUCUUUACAGGAAUUUAUAAGAACAGAAAUCCCUCAGAGCAGUUUAGCCAUACCAUUUCCUUGAAGUAGAAAAAGCACAUGGCUGGAAGUGGGCUACUCCUGAAGAAAGAGUGCUUUGAUGGAUCAAGGUUCUCCAGCCUCUUUAUGCAAGAAGC